AUUUCUCAACCCCUUUCAAUUAAGUUUGAAUGGGAGCUUGGAUAGUGGGGGUUUGCAGGAAACUUGGAUAUUUUCUUUAACUAGAAAAAGUCUAGGAUUCGAGCUCUCCUGAAAUACAUUGGCUUGCGGGUCUACUUUCGACUUUGUGCGAUAAGGCUUUCGGUGUGAUAAUGAUCACCGUAUGCUGAAGUGCAUAACUGUAAAGUUCCGUGCCUCUAAUAUUGUCGAUCCUAUCCUUAUAGGAUGGAUCUUCCUUAUAUGACA
rnacentral:misc_RNA from 1 species